AAGAAAUUAGGUUCAAUCUCCAAGCC
rnacentral:tRNA from 1 species